rnacentral:rRNA from 1 species
CCUACGGGUGGCAGCAGUGGGGAAUAUUGCACAAUGGGGGAAACCCUGAUGCAGCGACGCCGCGUGAAUGAAGAAGUAUUUCGGUAUGUAAACUUCUAUCAGCAGGGAAGAAAAUGAUGGUACCUGACUAAUAAGCGCCGGCUAACUACGUGCCAGCAGACGCGGUAAUACGUAGGGGGCAAGCGUUAUCCGGAUUUACUGGGUGUAAAGGGAACGGAGGCUGGUUAGCAUGUCAGAAGGGAAAGCCCGGGGCUGAAACUCGGGACUGCUUUUGAAACUGUUGAACUAGAGUGCAGGAGAGGUAAGUAGAAUUCCAAGUGUAGCGGUGAAAUGCGUAGAUAUUAGGAGGAACACCAGUGGCGAAGGCGGCUCACUGGACUGUAAAUGACGCUGAGGUUCGAAAGCGUGGGGAGCAAACAGGAUUAGAUACCCUUGUAGUC